GAAAACACAACCUUACUCAGCUUCAAAAAUUCCGAAAUUUUUACCUAAGCUUCCUCACGUACUGGAGAUAACCUCAGAAAAAUUUCAUAAAAGAACUCCCUUCACUUGAGCCUGGAUCACAGACCUGAGACAGUAGCUUCUGCAAUAAGCUUCUCCAGGACAGCAGCUGUGCAACAGCUCUUCACUCCCAUGAACCACGAGUUUCUCCAAUUAUAGAAAUCCCCAAAAUUUUCCCAAGGUUUCCUCACAUUUAUUUCAACUUCCCAAAAAAAUUUCAUCCCAAGAUUCUUUAAUGUGUUGAUGUUGUUUUUAAAUCGUCAAUUUGUUUUUUGGUGAAAUUUGCAUGUGCAUGCCUGAUUUUCGUUGUGCGCUUAAUUUUCAUCGUGAUGAACUUUGCUUAUGAGUUUUAGUAGUGUUUUUUACAUAUAAAAAAUAACAAAAACAUGAAAACAUAGUAAUUAAUUGCUGAUAAAACCUUUGGCUGAAAAUAUACAAGGAAAAACAUGUAAGCCACGUAGAGUUUUUUUUUUUUGUUGUUGUCGCUGGAGAUUUAGGCAAUGAGAAUGACUCGCAACAAGCAUAUGCAGAUGUUAAAUAACGUAACUGUGCUAUAUAUGCUGAUAUUGCCACCGUUUGAUAUGUUAAACAAUCUCAAAAGAAAGCUCAGGAAAUUAAGAAAGUGCUUAAUUAUAAGGUGAACUAAAAUACAUAUAGAGGCAGUGAAUGCCAGCAAAAGAGUCCGUAGACACUGACAAAAGGCAAGGUGUGAUCAGGUGAAUAGCAGAGUGAAAGCCAUUUUUCCAAAAGUAAGGAGCAAUCUAUACCAAGCGAGUUAAUUAUCCCGUGUCAAGAGCAAAUUGUUAGUGUCAAACAUGAAUGGCACCAGGGCGCGGCUGACAUAAAUAUUCAAAGGCUGAAAUCAUGUCUUCGAAUAUUGAAAGGAAAAGAUUAACCAAGGUCAUCCUCCUUGUAUAUAUAAAAAGCAUCAAAGGCUAUACCAUGCCUGCAUAAAAGAAUGCAAGAGCUAGCCGUGAUGAACGAAGGGCAUCAAUAAUGAACCAAAGUCAACAUCGGUACACUUUUUCCAUGAAAGUCUAAGCAGAGCAAUAUUAAGCUGGUAUAUGAGGCUCGAGAUCAAGAGAUGGAGAAAGUUCUUCGUGUAGCCCCUGCUGUUCCAACAUCAGAUUCCUUCACUAACCACUUGCAGAUGUUUCGCUUUCGUUCCUUACGGCUUAUUUUGUUGUAUCAGUUACAAAUACUGAUGUUGUGCUGGUAUUGCAACCAUAAUUAGCACCCGAGAUGCUUAAUUCUCCACCUUUUUUGAAUUGUUAAGACAUCGUGCUAAUAACCUAUUCCGUAUGGCUGAUCAGUUUAUUCUCAAUGCUUACCAAGUUUUUUUUAUUUCA